GCUGGACAUGGUGGUGCAUGCCUGUAAUCCUGGCAUCUUGGGAGGCUGAGACAGAAGGAUAUCAAGUUCAAAGCCAGACUCAGUAACUGUGAGGCACUAAGUAACUCAGUGAGACCCUGUCUCUA
rnacentral:sRNA from 1 species